rnacentral:rRNA from 1 species
UACAGAGGGUGCGAGCGUUGUCCGGAAUCACUGGGCGUAAAGGGCGCGUAGGCGGCAACUCAAGUCAGCUGUGAAAUCUCCGAGCUUAACUCGGAACGGUCAGCUGAUACUGUUUUGCUAGAGUGCAGAAGGGGCAAUCGGAAUUCUUGGUGUAGCGGUGAAAUGCGUAGAUAUCAAGAGGAACACCUGAGGUGAAGACGGGUUGCUAGGCUGACACUGACGCUGAGGCGCGAAAGCCAGGGGAGCAAACGGG